rnacentral:lncRNA from 1 species
AGGAAACCACUAACAGACAAAGUACUGUGCUUGUGGGUCUCACAGCCCCUCUGAGCACGUGGCGUUCCCUUGCCCUGGGCCCUGGGCCCUUUUUGGUAGCAGAGUCUGAGAGCAGAGGACAGGACAAUCUCUGGUGGCUUAUAGCACAACCCAGUGUGCUUGCUGGAGGUCUCAGGUACACCCAAAUUGGAGCUGGAAGAGUCUGGAGACAAAUGAAACUACCUAGCCAAGCCAAGAACUGUUAGCACUUCUGCUACAAGAUCAGACUUUGCACAAACUGAUGGGAACCAAAAACAAGUGAAGAGGAUUGAAGAUGAACCCACAUUUCAAAAGUCCUUGUCUGCUGGAGGUGGCAUUACCUGUGACCUCGCUUCACAUCUUCAUACAUGGCUGUUGUAGCAGCCCUGGAUCCCUAGGAAUUAACCAACUGAAGCAAAUAACAUGGGAAAAUGUUGGAGAUCGAAGCAGAGUGAAGGAAGAGCAGAGCUACAAAGCCUUGGUAGAAUGGAAGUGGAAUUCUUGAAAACACGGUUGAUAAGGAAAACAAGAGGAUUCAGGACACCCUGUUUUGAAAACCCUUGUCUGCUUGUGUGACAUUACUUGUGAUUUCACUGCACUUUAUACAUGGCUAAUGUAUCUGGCAAUUUUGUAAGUAGGAAUGCUUAAUUCUAAGAAAUGCC